rnacentral:lncRNA from 1 species
GUUUGAUUUGAAAGUCUCCACCUAGUUGUAAUGUUUUGUUUAUUUUAUCUUUAGGAAAUGGGAUUUUUUUUUUUUUUUUACAUAAAACCACUGAUUUGGUUCUUGUUAAACAGGUUUAGGACCAGGACACAAGUUAGGUAGUCUCCCUGCACUUUAUUCAGAGCUACCCAAUUUCAUGCAUGAUUCCAAUUGCUGUAUUAAGGGAAGUCCACUUAUCCAGAUCAUCAUCUUCUAUGUGCCUUGGUCAUCUUCCAGCCUCUUUGAAAUGAAACUCUUAGUGGUUUCACUCUGAGUUUAGGGAAUCAACUUACUGCUAAUGCUCUUUUUCACUUGGUGUGAAAUUCACCUUGAGAUCUGAUCUGGUUACUGAAAAAAUGGAAGGAAGUUUAACUGACCCCCCCCCCCCCAUCUUGCUUCCUAUACUGUGACAAAAGGGUUAGCUUUCAUGGUGACUUGGUUUUGGGGUUCUACAAUUUUCCUUGCCCCUAAUAUAGGAUAUAUAGGAAAGUACAAAAAUGCCAAAGGGGGAUUGGCUAUCAGAUUAUUGAAAUAUUUGGAGUAGUGACCUCUUACAGAUAAUAGUACCCAGUUUUCCAGAAUCAAGUACGUUUCAUGGAAUCAGGUUUCACCUUCAGUUAAACAUUAAAUUAUCAUCUCAGAAAUUUUUUAUCAUAGCUUAAUGCCAUAUGCACUUUAAAAUCUCUUGUCAGUAGCUUGAUUAUGAGACAAUCAAAUUUAUAAUCUUUUUGUUUCUUUGAAAUUAAAGUUAGAAACUGCCAAAGCCAGAAAUGCUGCAGACAAUUCAACUUUUGCCAACACAUUACCCCUCUUUUCCCCCUCAGUGAGCUUAUAGGGACAAUCUCAAUCUCAAAAAACCAUCCACUAUUUGAGUCUAAAGGAAAGAAAAGGUAAAUUUAUAUACCUUUUGUCUUGCAUGUUUUGGGAUAAUACCACUGACAAGUUAUCCCUUUGAUAACUGUCUUUCUUCCCCCUCCCAAUCCAUGAUCCUUUUCCAAAGUUCAGUAUAGUAUUAAAGAGAGGUAUAAAUAUCUAGUCUUUUUUGUUUGUUACUAAAAUUAAAUCAGUGCCCCAUCAAACGAGUUAAUUCUGAUCAUCUUAGGAGCACAGUCUCCAGGUAUUAUUACCUAUAAAAAUAUUUUGUAAUCUAUCUUCUUUUGGAUGGUGGCCUUUCUAACUCUUACUCUUGCCUCUCAAGGAUUCUUAAUGUGUGUUAGAGUUAGAAACACUAUCAAACAAGUUAAUGGGAGAGGCAGUUAUAUUGAGGAAAAAGGUACUUCUGCCCCCCAAAAGCUUUCUUUAAUCACCCAAACACUUGCAUUUCAUAGUAGUUGAAGACUGCAAGACAAGACCUAGCCAUAGUAUUAUGCAGAGCACAUUGUGGAAAGAUGACAGGGAGGGGACCAAAUAGAGGAAGGAGAGACUAUAAGAAUUGUAUUAUAUUCUCUAGGAAGCUUCAGUAACCUUUCUGCAUUCCUGUAUAGCAAAAAACCACCUUCCAAAAGGGAUUUCAGCUAGAUACAAUUCUGUAUACUGUGCUAGUGUGAAACAGUUUAUAAUCUGUAUAAUCUGACCUCCUGAAUCUUAAGAGUCCUUGAAAUCUGGAAACAGAAACAAUUGUUCAGAAUAGAUUGUUUUGGCAUAAAGGAAGAUGUUGGGUGAUAGUAACUGAGGGAGCUAUUAAGUUUCUUUAAUUAGCAGGGCCAUUUUGGAAGCUGUUGUAGAAUUUGAUAAAAUAUACCAUUUUUCAGUGAGUUAUUUCAAAGGCUGUACAUUUACUCUGAUUAGUGUUCAUAGGUGGAAAGGAGGAUAAGGUAUUUCAGGUUUUUUGUUUUUGUUUUUUAAUGUAGCAUAACAUUCCUAGUUAACCAGAGCUCUGGAAUCUGCCACCUGCUGGCCAGGUAUAUAAAAUUUUUUAAAAAUCUAGUCACCUUUAAAUUAAACAACACAAAAGCACUUUUCCAAGUGCUAAUCUUAAUUUCACUUUCCAUAAGAACAGGCCGUGAUUCCUUCUUUUCCUCAUAAAUGUAGCUAAAUUUAAGGACAAGCAAACUGAACAGUCUGAUAAUCUUUCCAGCUGUGGAAAAAUCCAAAGCCUUUUCUAGAAAAGGUAUGCAAACUAUCCCAUAAAAUGCAUUUUUCAUCAUCUUUCAUUUAUGACUCUUUAGAGGCCAGCAUCUACAUCAACUUAAGGUCCCAGAUGCAUUCAAUUCUUUUAUUCCCAGCUCUUGGGCCCAAUUGUAAUCUUCUCUUUGAAAUAGGUAGUCACUAUGUGGUAAUACGUGGGGGUACCAAACUAAGAUGCUAUGUGGUAGGGACUACCACUAUUUUCUAUGUUUAAAAAAAAAAAAAAAAACAUGCAGUGGUCAUUAUAAAGCACUGACAGAGAGAUAUGUCCAGUUCAGUUUGUCUGUGGUUUAAGUUUAGCUUUGUAGUUUCCUAUGGUUUUUGGUUUGUUUGUUUUUUUUUUUUAACUGAUAUGGAGUGCACUAGCAUAUGCCACCGAAUGUUCAAGAGGGUAGCUGUAAUACACCUCAUACCUCUGCUUUCAGUUUAUUUUUUGUAAUGCUUUGUAUAAGCAUUUACCUUGCUAGAUUCUAUUAAAAAAAAAAAAAAAAGAAAGAGGGGGUUAAAACCCACUUGCUGUAUGUUAAUUUGUAAUUAUUGUAAAGUAAAGCAGUAAAAACUGUAAAGUCUUUUUCCCCCAGUGUGUCUUCUGGGGUUUUGCCACAGCACACUGACUUUGUAACAAGCUUUUAUUUAUCUUCCUUUCUAG